GAUGAACGCUGGCGGCGUGCCUAAUACAUGCAAGUCGAGCGAACGGACGAGAAGCUUGCUUCUCUGAUGUUAGCGGCGGACGGGUGAGUAACACGUGGAUAACCUACCUAUAAGACUGGGAUAACUUCGGGAAACCGUAGCUAAUACCGGAUAAUAUUUUGAACCGCAUGGUUCAAAAGUGAAAGACGGUCUUGCUGUCACUUAUAGAUGGAUCCGCGCUGCAUUAGCUAGUUGGUAAGGUAACGGCUUACCAAGGCAACGAUGCAUAGCCGACCUGAGAGGGUGAUCGGCCACACUGGGACUGAGACACGGUCCAGACUCCUACGGGAGGCAGCAGUAGGGAAUCUUCCGCAAUGGGCGAAAGCCUGACGGAGCAACGCCGCGUGAGUGAUGAAGGUCUUCGGAUCGUAAAACUCUGUUAUUAGGGAAGAACAUAUGUGUAAGUAACUGUGCACAUCUUGACGGUACCUAAUCAGAAAGCCACGGCUAACUACGUG
rnacentral:rRNA from 1 species